UGGAUCCUGGGUCGGAAGGCCGGCUUAGGUAGCCGUGCCGGCGGACGGGUGAGUAACACGUGGGCAACCUGCCUGUAAGACUGGGAUAACUUCGGGAAACCGAAGCUAAUACCGGAUAGGAUCUUCUCCUUCAUGGGAGAUGAUUGAAAGAUGGUUUCGGCUAUCACUUACAGAUGGGCCCGCGGUGCAUUAGCUAGUUGGUGAGGUAACGGCUCACCAAGGCAACGAUGCAUAGCCGACCUGAGAGGGUGAUCGGCCACACUGGGACUGAGACACGGCCCAGACUCCUACGGGAGGCAGCAGUAGGGAAUCUUCCGCAAUGGACGAAAGUCUGACGGAGCAACGCCGCGUGAGUGAUGAAGGCUUUCGGGUCGUAAAACUCUGUUGUUAGGGAAGAACAAGUACGAGAGUAACUGCUCGUACCUUGACGGUACCUAACCAGAAAGCCACGGCUAACUACGUGCCAGCAGCCGCGGUAAUACGUAGGUGGCAAGCGUUAUCCGGAAUUAUUGGGCGUAAAGCGCGCGCAGGCGGUUUCUUAAGUCUGAUGUGAAAGCCCACGGCUCAACCGUGGAGGGUCAUUGGAAACUGGGGAACUUGAGUGCAGAAGAGAAAAGCGGAAUUCCACGUGUAGCGGUGAAAUGCGUAGAGAUGUGGAGGAACACCAGUGGCGAAUGCGG
rnacentral:rRNA from 1 species